AUAGUCCUACGGGGGGCAGCAGUGAGGAAUAUUGGUCAAUGGACGCAAGUCUGAACCAGCCAUGCCGCGUGCAGGAAGAAGGUGCUAUGCAUUGUAAACUGCUUUUAUACGGGGGUAAUUACAGAUACGUGUAUCUGGAUGAAAGUACCGUAUGAAUAAGGAUCGGCUAACUCCGUGCCAGCAGCCGCGGUAAUACGGAGGAUGCGAGCGUUAUCCGGAUUUAUUGGGUUUAAAGGGUGCGUAGGCGGGCUGUUAAGUCAGCGGUCAAAUGUCGGGGCUCAACCCCGGCCUGCCGUUGAAACUGG
rnacentral:rRNA from 1 species